GAUCUUUCCCCAUCCUUGCCUCACAUGUUUGGUGGUGUGAAAAGUAGCCACCAAUGAUGCUAAGAACUGACAAGACUCAUCUUCAUAGGUAGGAUAGGUGAUAGACCAUAUAUUUUACCCAUUUUUAAUCAUGGUCUAUAAAUGUUUUAAAGUGUUUUAAGAUACAAUUAUUAUGUUUUGGAGUCUAUUUUGAUUAUUUACACGUUCAGGGACGUUUAGGAGAAAUAUGGUGAUUUUGGAGUCUUUUGGAAUCUUUGGAGGUGCAGAGUUGCACAUACGCGUCAGCUGUUUAGCUAUGGAUGGAGACCUUUCGACCGUUAUAUUGAGCCCAUAUUUUGACACAAGAUAUAUAUUUGAGUUAGAUUUCCAAUGCCACCGGUCUCAUGUCAAUCAGCAUCCUGUAGUAGAAGUUAUGCCCGUUUUACCUAAGAGUGGUCAGUCUGCCUCGCGAGAGGAAGCUGCCGAGAAGAGAAAGCCACGUCAAUCGAUGCAGCACUCUCCACGUCAAUCUAUGGAGAUCCCAGAUCGUGGGACUUGUAUAUUUUAUGACUGGGUGAAGCCCAGAAGUAACUACAAAUUACCAGAAUGCCCUUGGACGACCAAAAACCCUAUUUAUGUUAUUUCUAAGCCAUUGUUGACGGCGACGAUUUUUACACAUGUUCUUUGAUUCAUAGUUUUGUUAGGACAGAAGGGAGGAACUCCUAUCAGAGUCCUCCUGGAACUCCUUUGGUUUUAUUUUAUCUAUUUCAUUUCAGUUUUUCUAUCUAUUUAUCUAUGAUUUCUGUUUCCAUGUCUAAGUAGAUCCACCUGUUAGAUCCAGGGUUCAGAUAGGUUUGUGGGAUAAGCCCCAAACUAUAAAUCUGCCUUGUUAAGAUAUUCAUGAUAGAUCUAUACUUAUUGCUUGUUCUAGAGUAAUUAACUAGAAUAUUGAUCAUAGGAUUGCAUACACAAGCAUCCUUGUUAUCCCAUCCUGACAUCUAUCUAUCAUAUUAAGAUUGCUAGAGAGGGCUAACCGCCAAUUUAGCAUCCUAAUAGGGCAAAUCAUCUCGCGUAUAGGCCUGGCUAGAAUCCGUCAAUCGAUGUUCUCAACUGACUAUCGGUCGACAUAGGUAAAGGUGUAUCGGUCGAUGUCCCAAUAGGACCAUCAGUCGACACUCUCUCGUUGUCGACAUACUAACCGUUGAGAAGACCAUCGGUCGACACUCUUUCGUGAUCAAGAUACUAACCGUUGAGACACGAGAUCUAGCGAGUUAACCAGUGAAACAUGCGACAGCUGAUCACUGAGUUAAGCGGUUGAGCUCUAACAUAUCAUGCAUGCAACAAAUAGGUACCUAUAGGAAUUAUAAUCUCCAACACCUGAAUAGAAACUCUAGAUCUAGCAACCAUCCUUCCAUCGAACAACCCUUGCCAAGCUGAACAAUUGACUUGUUCAACUUGUUUACUGCUUUGUUUAUUUAAUUGCUAUUUUAAUGCUUUAUAAUCUAUUAGCCUAGUUUAUUAUAAAUUGUUUAGAUCUAUUCGGUUCCCUAGCUCCUUGUGUAUUCGAUCCCUAAGUACUAUAACUCGACCUCUUUUGAUGAGAGUAACACUCUUUAGGAUAAUUUGAGUGAUAUCAAUAGGCCAUAGUGAAGAAGCUUUGCAUGUACAUGCGCUCCAGCAGCUGCUUAAUGUCAUCACCAAUCUCCAACUCUUCCAUGGUCUUGAUAUCCGCAAAUCGAGUUGGAGGCCACAACACACCAUUCUUCAAAUGCCCAUAUAGCUCAUCUUCAGUUGGUGUCUUGGUUCUAUCCCUCUCA
rnacentral:lncRNA from 1 species